rnacentral:rRNA from 1 species
GACGAACGCUGGCGGCGUGCUUAACACAUGCAAGUCGAACGGAAAGGCCCUGCUUUUGUGGGGUGCUCGAGUGGCGAACGGGUGAGUAACACGUGAGUAACCUGCCCUUGACUUUUGGAUAACUUCAGGAAACUGGGGCUAAUACCGGAUAGGAGCUCCUGCUGCAUGGUGGGGGUUGGAAAGUUUCGGCGGUUGGGGAUGGACUCGCGGCUUAUCAGCUUGUUGGUGGGGUAGUGGCUUACCAAGGCUUUGACGGGUAGCCGGCCUGAGAGGGUGACCGGCCACAUUGGGACUGAGAUACGGCCCAGACUCCUACGGGAGGCAGCAGUGGGGAAUAUUGCACAAUGGGCGGAAGCCUGAUGCAGAAACGCCGCGUGCGGGAUGACGGCCUUCGGGUUGUAAACCGCUUUCGCCUGUGACGAAGCGUGAGUGACGGUAAUGGGUAAAGAAGCACCGGCUAACUACGUG